rnacentral:rRNA from 1 species
ACGAGAUUUAUGACUUCGGUUAUAAUGAAAGUGGCGCACGGGUGCGUAACGCGUAUGCAACCUACCUUUUACAGGGGGAUAGCCCGGGGAAACUCGGAUUAAUACCCCAUGGUAUCAUAAAAUCGCAUGGUUUAAUGAUUAAAGAUUUAUCGGUAAAAGAUGGGCAUGCGUCUGAUUAGCUAGAUGGUGAGGUAAAGGCUCACCAUGGCGAUGAUCAGUAGGGGUUCUGAGAGGAUGAUCCCCCACACUGGUACUGAGACACGGACCAGACUCCUACGGGAGGCAGCAGUAGGGAAUAUUGGUCAAUGGGCGAGAGCCUGAACCAGCCAUGCCGCGUGUAGGAUGACGGCCUUCUGGGUUGUAAACUACUUUUCUACAGGAAGAAAACGGCUAUGCGUAGCCAAUUGACGGUACUGUAGGAAUAAGCACCGGCUAACUCCGUGCCAGCAGCCGCGGUAAUACGGAGGGUGCGAGCGUUGUCCGGAUUUAUUGGGUUUAAAGGGUGCGUAGGUGGCUAUUUAAGCCAGUGGUGAAAGCCCAUCGCUUAACGAUGGAACUGCCAUUGGAACUGAAUAGCUUGAGUAUCGUUGAAGUAGGCGGAAUUUAUGGUGUAGCGGUGAAAUGCAUAGAUACCAUAAAGAACACCGAUAGCGUAAGCAGCUUGCUAAGCGAUAACUGACACUGAGGCACGAAAGCAUGGGGAGCGAACAGGAUUAGAUACCCUGGUAGUCCAUGCCGUAAACGAUAAUUACUCGCUGUUGGCGAUAUACAGUCAGCGGCCAAGCGAAAGCGUUAAGUAAUCCACCUGGGGAGUACGUCCCCAAGGAUGAAACUCAAAG